rnacentral:rRNA from 1 species
CCAGACUCCUACGGGAGGCAGCAGUGGGGAAUAUUGGGCAAUGGGCGCAAGCCUGACCCAGCAACGCCGCGUGAAGGAAGAAGGCUUUCGGGUUGUAAACUUCUUUUGUCAGGGACGAAGCAGGUGACGGUACCUGACGAAUAAGCCACGGCUAACUACGUGCCAGCAGCCGCGGUAAUACGUAGGUGGCAAGCGUUAUCCGGAUUUACUGGGUGUAAAGGGCGUGUAGGCGGGACUGCAAGUCAGAUGCGAAAACCACGGGCUCAACCUGUGGCCUGCAUUUGAAACUGUAGUUCUUGAGUACUGGAGAGGCAGACGGAAUUCCUAGUGUAGCGGUGAAAUGCGUAGAUAUUAGGAGGAACACCAGUGGCGAAGGCGGUCUGCUGGACAGCAACUGACGCUGAGGCGCGAAAGCGUGGGGAGCAAACAGGAUUAGAUACCCGAGUA